rnacentral:rRNA from 1 species
GAUGAACGCUGGCGGCGUGCCUAAUACAUGCAAGUCGAGCGAACGGACGAGAAGCUUGCUUCUCUGAUGUUAGCGGCGGACGGGUGAGUAACACGUGGAUAACCUACCUAUAAGACUGGGAUAACUUCGGGAAACCGGAGCUAAUACCGGAUAAUAUUUUGAACCGCAUGGUUCAAAAGUGAAAGACGGUCUUGCUGUCACUUAUAGAUGGAUCCGCGCUGCAUUAGCUAGUUGGUAAGGUAACGGCUUACCAAGGCAACGAUGCAUAGCCGACCUGAGAGGGUGAUCGCCCACCCUGGAACUGGGCAACGGUCCAGACUCCUACGGGAGGCAGCAGUAGGGAAUCUUCCGCAAUGGGGGAAAGCCUGACGGAGCAACGCCGCGUGAGGGAUGAAGGUCUUCGGAUCGUAAAACUCUGUUAUUAGGGAAGAACAUAUGUGGAAGUAACUGUUCACAUCUUGACGGUACCUAAUCAGAAAGCCACGGCUAACUACGUG